AUGCCACAUAACAGCUCCUUUUUUGAGGAGCAGCUAUAUCCAAGCACCACCAUCUGGAACCUGCCUGAGAGGUACGACCGGAACCACUGCAGCACAGUGCCUCCAAUUCCCAACCCCCUAUGUGUUCCAGAAGGAUACUAUGGUUGGCCAAACACAGUUGAUGGUAAAGGGAUAGCCAAAGGUCACCUAAAAGGUACCCAUUUCCAUGUAUUCUGCAAUGGUAAUUGUGGGUAUUGGAGAUUUAGAGGCUUUUCCAUUAUAAAUUUUAGUGUCUUGUGCCCAGGCUGGGAAAGUAAGUAGGCUGGGGGAGGCAGGAAAUCAUUGUUGAAGAUGGGUUAAUAAAUGUAUUAACCUUAGUCGCAUUUGAAAGUGCUGACACCAAUCUGUGGCAGGGAUGAAAUGUCCUCGGGACUCAGACGGAGGCCUUGAGACAAGGCUGUUGUGAUUACAGAGCUUCCAAGAAUUUACUCCACCAAGAAAAUUAUGAACCAAAGCCAGCUCUUCUGCAAUAUUUUCCCCUGAAAAUUCACUACUGCUUCUUAAAAACAGAGAAGGAGUAAUGAAAAUGCAACUCAGGGAAGUUUAAUUUUGGCUGUCAACUCUCAGAAUUCCCUAAAUCAGAAUGACCAAUAGGAUUUUGGAAAUUAUCGUUUGAAAAAGAAAACAAAUCACCUAAAGUGUAAUAAGAGGGGGCUGCAAUUUAGGUUUCCCAGAAAACUACAGCAUUUUUCUUUCUUAGAUCCGUAGUUUUGUGGGGUUUUAGAGUUCUCUGCCAAAGCUCCACCAAAUCCCAGGAUUCCAAGUGAUAUCAAAGUGCUGUAAUUGUGUAUUGUGACAGAAUCAUAUCAAGGCUUGCCUCCACUGUCUCCCCAAACUUCAAGCACCAUCACUUUUUCCAAGGACUAUAUUCAUUGAUUUUAAAAUAAAUUGUCCUCCACUGAGGUGCAAAGAGGCCAUUUGUUCCUUUGGUGAAAGGUCCAUUGGAAAAACAAACCUUAUUCAGCAAUCACAUUAUUCAAAGUUCAAAGAGAAAUGCCUCAGCAGCUGCAUUGUGUUAACAGGUCAGAUGGUGCACUAUCCAUGGGGACGUGGUGUUAUUAGUGUGCAUAAAUUUAGAUGCAUGCUGUAGUGAGUAUGGCCUUUGCCACCACAUAGAUGAGUUUUCAAGUCCUUGCCAGUAUCAUUGCCAAAUGUCAACAGCUGUCAACUAACAUUGAAGCGGUUAAUUCAUCCUGAGGAAGUCACCAUGGUAGGUAGGUUCAGUUUAACCUGGCAGUUCAAGGCUGGGAAAUGAUAGACAGCUGGAGAAUGACUGAGGGGUUAAACUCCUUUCGCAACAUACUUAUGCAAUUCUCCUGGAUAGUAGAAUGGGUCAAGUUUGCACACCUUGAUUUCCUUUGUAUGUCCCAUGCUAUUCAAACCUUGGGCAUUCCUCUUUCAAUGGUCUUAAAUGUAUCAAAAUAUUUUUACCUACAUAUCGAAACCCUGUCUAAUCUUGGAAGCUAACAGCCUAGUCCCCUUUGUGGGAUAUGCCUUGGAGUCUCUGCUGAGGUCCUCAAAUUCUGGAUGGGUUGCUAUGGAAGGAGGCAGUCUUUCACAUUACUCCAAACCCUAUGGAGACAUAUGCAAAUUAAAAACAGCAGUUUGAAUUGAACUCAAACCUUGACAUAUGGAGGGCCAACUGUAUGAGGCUGGAUGUCCCAAUGCUCUUGCUUGAUAUGGCAGCUUCCUAUGUAGGACCUUGUAUUAAAAGCUGUUCUGAUUUGGAGGCAUUUAAAAGUAGUCCAUGGACCCAUCUACACUGCCAUAUAAUGCAUUUUCACAAUGCAGUUUAACUACACUAAUGAGCCUACACUUUUCCAUCUAAUCCAGUUCUAUGAAGUUAAACUGCAUUAUAUGGCAGUGUAGAUGAGGCCUAUAUUGCCAUUGACUCUGCAUUGCAGAUCUAUUGAACAUGGAAUUGGACUAGAUGACCUCCAUUACCUAUUCUAGCAAUGAAGCUCUAUGAUCCCAUCAUUCAAACAUGGCACUGGAAGUACUCCAGGUAGCAAAGAGCUCCAGAGUGAGAGCACAUUUUUAUUAUAUUCCCUUUUCAGUCAUUUGUGUGUUCAGUUCACUGGUUUUCUCUGGGGUGGCUAAAUAAACAACCAUUCUCCUCUUUCCUUUCCCUAAUCCGCUUGUGCCUUUCUAUGCCCAAAGCGUUUUCCUCCUUAGUUGUCUCUCUUCUGAGCACAUCUAAGAUUUUUUUCUUAAUACCCAAAGUGCCUUUUUAAAAAAAUAAAAGAGAAGGUUUUCUCUAGCUUUCUUCUGAGUGCCUGGUAAAUUCUGAAUACUUGGUGACUGGCAGACUUUUUAAUGUUUGCAGCUGCCUUUUUGCAUUUCUUCCUUGAGACUCGAUUUGGAUCUAAUGCUGCCACCUAUUGGAUAUGAAGUUCACGAGCUUUCAGCACAUUUAAACCAGAGAGAAACAUAUUAUUGUAAUCCCCUUCUUCAAAACAUCUAAGUUCUGUAAUUUGUUUGAUUUCCA
rnacentral:lncRNA from 1 species